rnacentral:lncRNA from 1 species
CCCCAAAUCAUUGGUGAGCUACCUCCCCACUGCCUUCAUCCUGUGCUGCAGAAAGCCAGGAUCAGGGCAACUAAAAACUGGCAUUAAUAUGUCUGUUUGAGGCCACCACCUCUGUAGGAAUGGGGAUGUAAACCGUUCUAACAUGUUGGGAGAUGUCCUCAGCACAGCUGUUCCUUUCCUCUGCUAAAGGCUGUCCUCGUGCUACUGCUUGUCAAGGCUGGCUCUGCUCCGUGACAGACUCCUUGCGGGCAUCUCUCUUCAGGAAAGGUCACUGAGAUGGUCCUUGCACUGAUUUUGGACUGCAGAGUCACUUGCACUUCCAUUGCUAUGAUUCCAGGCACCAAAUCGGCACAGCUGCAUGACACCAGGGUGAGCUGUACAGCCACUGAAGAACCAUGUUUUGGAAGGAGAAAAGUAAAAUCUUGAUUGCUUACAGUCCCUGAAAUGGAGGUGUGUUUGCCUGAGUAUUGAUGCAUAUUGUCUGAUUAAGGCCAUUUAAGCUGCUUUGUGUUUUUAUUGCUAUAACAUGUUUUUUUUAACCUAUGUACUAGCAUGUUGGUUGCUGUUUCCAAGGCCAUUCUGCCUGAUGCAGAUAUGGCAUUUUGUUAGUGGCUGAAAUUUCUUUUUAGUAUUUGGAGUUUGGAAGAGAGUAAAAGAGGAUGUAACUUGGUCUUCUAUCACUAUCACUAUCACUUGCUG